GUCCACGCCGUAACGGUGGGCGCUAGGUGUGGGGCCAUUCCACGGUCUCUGUGCCGCAGCUAACGCAUUAAGCGCCCCGCCUGGGGAGUACGGCCGCAAGGCUAAAACUCAAAGGAAUUGACGGGGCCCGCACAAGCGGCGGAGCAUGUGGAUUAAUUCGAUGCAACGCGAAGAACCUUACCUGGGUUUGACAUGCGCCAGACGCAUCCAGAGAUGGGUGUUCCCUUGUGGUUGGUGUGCAGGUGGUGCAUGGCUGUCGU
rnacentral:rRNA from 1 species